rnacentral:misc_RNA from 1 species
GAUGAAGAACGCAGCGAAAUGCGAUAAGUAGUGUGAAUUGCAGAAUUCAGUGAAUCAUCGAAUCUUUGAACGCGCAUUGCGCCCCUUGGUAUUCCAUGGGGCAUGCCUGUUCGAGCGUCAUUUGUACCUUCAAGCUUUGCUUGGUGUUGGGUGUUUGUCCUGAGGGACUCGCCUUAAAGUAAUUGGCAGCCAGUGUUUGGUUUUGAAGCGCAGCACAAGUCGCGAUUCAAGGCUAUACACCAGCUUCCACAAGCCUUUUUCACUUUUGACCUCGGAUCAGGUAGGGAUACCCGCUGAACUUAAGCAUAUCAAUAAGCGGAGGA